UUGAUUAUUUAAUUUCAUAGUCGUCUAUACAAGCUAAUAAACUGCAGUGCAUUUGACAGCCUUUCAUACACUGACGGUAUUUUGUCAUAGAACAAAAAAUAAGAAUGAAGGUUUCUGUUUGUUUAGUCGUUUGUCUGUUGUUAGUGUCUGCUGGAGUCAACAUGGCGGAUGACGAAAUAUUUAUGGAUGAUGACGAAAUAUUUGAAGACGGUGACCGUAGGUAUGAGCUUGAAAAAAGACAGAGGUGUGAUGGAAGACCAUGCAUUUUUGACUAUUGGUGCUGUAGUAGGGAUUAUAUAUGCUUUGAAUGGACCUGCAUAUGUGUAGGAUGUGGAAAAUAACAGAACCGAGGAAAUAUUAUCUAUUUAAACAUAGAACUUGAAAUGAAUAUCAGAUAAAAUGAGAUAAUAAUC